AUAGGUGUGGGAUUUGAUUGCAAUCCAAUGGUUUUUGGAGCUGAUGAAAGAGGAAUAUGGAGCUUUGUCAGGUUCCUUGGUGAAAGGAAAUCUUCAUUUUCAGGGUCAAAGUAUGGUUCACAGUUUUCUGAGGCAUUUGGAAAAUUUUAUGGCCAAUCAAAGACUGGUGUGAGCAAUGAUGGCAUUGAUCCUUCAAGAUCACGUGGAGGCGUUCAUGAGAACUGCAUAAAUUGCGUUGUGUCUCUUGGGGAGGAGGGCAGUUCCAGAACGCUGCGCUUCAGCACUUCAGGAUUAGAUGGGAGAGUGGUUAUCUGGGCUCUGGAGAACCAGGAAGAUCUAUCCGAAUAUCUGUGAAGGAUUUCAUAUUUUUCAAGCCCGUAUCUGGGAAUAUCUUUGAGCAAGUAUUGAAUACUGGAAUAUGCUUUUUUAUAUCAUCAAUUGGCCAGGAGCCCUCAAACUCAGCUAUGUAUAAACUCACGUGGUGCCAAGAUAAUAUUAGCUUUUU
rnacentral:misc_RNA from 1 species